AUUGAACGCUGGCGGCAGGCCUAACACAUGCAAGUCGAGCGAGCGGCGGACGGGUGAGUAAUGUCUGGGAAACUGCCUGAUGGAGGGGGAUCACUACGGGAAACGGUAGCUAAUACCGCAUACCAUCAGAUGUGCCCAGAUGGGAUUAGCUAGUAGGUGGGGUAACGGCUCACCUAGGCGACGAUCCCUAGCGGGGCUGAGAGGAGGACCAGCCACACUGGAACGGAGACACGGCCCAGACUCCUACGGGAGGCAGCAGUGGGGAAUUUUGGACAAUGGGGGAAACCCUGAUCCAGCAAUCCCGCGUGUAUGAAGAAGGCCUUCGGGUUGUAAAGUACUUUCAGCGAGGAGGCGUUACUCGCAGAAGAAGCACCGGCUAACGCCGUGCCAGCCGCCGCGGUAAUUC
rnacentral:rRNA from 1 species